rnacentral:rRNA from 1 species
CACGUAGGGUGCGAGCGUUGUCCGGAAUUAUUGGGCGUAAAGAGCGUGUAGGCGGCCCGGUAAGUCCGCUGUGAAAGUCCAGGGCUCAACCCUGGAAUGCCGGUGGAUACUGUCGGGCUCGAGUCCGGAAGAGGUGAGUGGAAUUCCUGGUGUAGCGGUGAAAUGCGCAGAUAUCAGGAGGAACACCAAUGGCGAAGGCAGCUCACUGGUACGGUACUGACGCUGAGACGCGAAAGCGUGGGGAGCGAACAGG